GAUAUGAAAGGAAGUAAUUAUUACAAGAUUGUACCAUUAAACAACACAUUUAUGACAAGAAGGGAUUACAAAACAUUGUAGAACAAACAAGAUAAUACAAACCGAGCUACUUUUUUAAUUUAAGCAGAUUUUUGAAUUUCAAUAUGAACUUUGAUCUCCUCCUAGAAAAGAUAUUAUUUUUUCUGCACCUGAAAAGUAGGAAAGACAUAUAAGUUGAACCAAUUACUUGGACAACGAGACAGACGUGCUGAACAAAGAACAAAAGGAUUGGAAUAACAGCAAUUCCAGCAAUAGCUAGAGCAAACCGGUUCAAUCCGUGUUUGAAAAUAAUGAAAUAUGUUGCAACGAACGCUACCAUCAUUGCUGAUAUUGCUAUAAAAAGGAAAACGAGUCCUAAAAUCAAUUUUGUAGGCAAUGAGCACCGAAAAUCUUCUAUUGAGUAUCGAGAAGUAAGAAGGGACAGGAAGCAUAAUACCGAAGAAGCUGAGAAUAUUAAGGAUAUUGCAUCCGAUAUGGCAAAAAUUUUAAACCAAAUCCGGUUGAGUAAAAUAGGAAUCCCAUUAUCUUGUCCAUUGCCACCAGGUACAGUAAAAGCUGCUGUAAAAACCACAGUGGCAAUAAGUGUUGCAACAAGCAUGCAUGAAUUUGCAGUAUUUCUCAACCAAUUCUCCCCUUGUUGCAUUAAUCCUUUGUGUUGUUUCAAUAAUACAUCUCUUGGAGUGUCCCCUUUUCUAUUUGUUUCUUCCAUUUCACGUACACUAACAACCUUUUUCACUUCCUCAAACCACAAUAGCUCACGCUGCAGUUGAAGAGCUGCUCCUGGUACAACAUUUAGUUGAGAUGCCGGUGCCAACAUUCCAGCUAAAUGUAACAUGUUAUUCUCGUUCCCAUCUCUGUAUGCGUUUAUUACGUCCGUCAUUGAACCAAUCUCAUAUAUCAACUUGAAGAUUUCGACAUGCCGAUGCUUUACAGCUAUAUGAAAUAUGGUAUAUUUAUUAUUCUCAUCAUCCACUUUCCAUACUAAAUCAGGGUAUGAACUUAUAAGGGUUGCCAGGAACUCCGCCUUUCCUCGUCUUGCUGCGAUAAAUAUUAGUUUUUGACGACAUUUUCCGACCAUCAAACCAGAAAUUCUUUGAUCAUCCAACAAUACUAUUUUCUCCCAAAUAAAUUUAACUAGCUCAAGCCCUUCUUUCUGCAAUUGAUUUUUUUUCCCAAAUAUGUUCAAACCUGAAAAGAGCUUCAUCCAUGGAGAGCUGUGAUUACGAGGCUUUCGGGCAAAUGCAUGUAAUGCUGUCUCAUUUUUGCUGUCUUUUUCAAUCGCCAGCUCUGGCUUCGCUUUUACCAAUUUCAUCGCAACAUCAUAUAUAUCAGCGUUGAUCAAGGCCACGAGGAAAGCAAUGAGAUCUUUAUGUUGAAUGCCCUGUAGCUUAUCUUUAGUUUCCUCAUAAAGGUAGCGCACCAUCUUACAACGGCCAAGCAAAGCUGCAAUACGAAUAGGUAAGACAUUUCCUCUGCCUUCGAUCAUUGCCAAAUCCUUGUUCUUUUCCAGCAUUAUUUGGGCAAUUUUCACAUUUCCUGAUGCGGCGGCAUAGAAAAAUGCUGUAUUUCCCCUUGCUGCAGUUGUAAUUUCUUCAUCAGGGAUCCUUUUCAUCAGCUGUUCAACAAAAUGAGUGUAGCUUGCUGCAGUUGCAAUAUGCAGAGCAGUGUGCCCUUCUUUAUUCAUUCUAGUCUUAACUUCUUCGGGAUAUUUGUCAAGAAUUCCUUCGGCUGUCUCCCAGUCUCCACUCAUUGCAGCUUUAUACAACUUCAAUUUCCUCACUCUCUUCUCUUGUGAUUCAACGCCUUCAAUAUCACUCAUG
rnacentral:misc_RNA from 1 species